UCUCUCUCUCUCUCUCUCUCUCUCUCUCUCUCUCUCUCUCUCUCUCUCUCUCUCUCUCUCUCUCUCUCUACCAUUCCCUCUACUGCUUCUCUCUUAUACCCACAAACCCUAGUCCCGUCUCCUUGCUCCUCGUCUUCGUUUCUCCCAGAACCUUAAUAACUCCAACCACGAUUCUGCUAACGAAUCGUCUCCGCGUCAAUGCUGUAUCAUUGCUGGGCCAUAUCGUGGUAGGUCGCAUCUUCUUUUCAGAUUCUAUGUGGUCUAUGGGAAGGGAAAAACAAAAGCUUUGUGAGAGCCAAAUUGAUUUUGUGAUCAGAAUGUUGGGGUUUUGUUGAGUUGAAUCUUUCAGUUAAAAUCGUUGGCUCAACCAAUUACUUUGCAAUGUAAUUUGGUUUCGUGCUCCAAAGUACUCAUCUUUAGUGUCAAGGGUACUUGUGACUGAUAGACAGCAGUUGUUGUGGAGAUGAUGACGAUGUGGUGCGAUUGGAUUUGUUAGACUGGUCUGGUGUCGAUUGGAAUACUCUCGGGUUUGUUGAUUCUUAGGGGAAGAUAAUGAGACGAAAAGAGUUUGCGUAAUGGGCGGAUUGAAGGGAACAAGAAGAAGGAGAAAGCUGUUCAUUUGAACAAGGGGUUGUUAAGUAAACAGAGACAACCAUCUUCUGAAACAAGAAUCUGCUUCCUAACGCUGUUGCUGCUGGUAGCGCUGAUUUGAAAUCAGAACAUGCCUGGUAGGGCGAUAUCUAUUCAAGGAUUGUCCAUUAGAAGGUUCUUGAUCUUGGACUCUGCCGGGUGUAUACAUGUAUUGCAUGUCUCUGGUCGUCAUCCUCUCGGAUCAAUCUUUGCUUGUCAUAUUCAGCAGUUGCCUCGCUUUAUGGAUGUAAUGAUCCCUUGUUCUUGAAAUGUUUGUUAGGUGAAGUGAUAUUGUUUUUGUUUUUGACACAUUGGAUAUCAAAAUUUCCUUUGCUUAACACAAUUAUAUGGUCUCUGGUUACUGCACGUACAAAAAGCUUUUGGAUUUCAGACGGGGAUUAUUUCAUCAUGCUUAGGGUGACAAGUCUGAUGAGGAAGCUAUCAUAAAAGAGAAAGAUAGAGUUAAUAAGAUAAGAGAUGAAAGACCUAUACAAAACCUUGGAUUCUCGGGCUACGAACCUUGUACGCCUAUGCUAUUAUCCUGAAGCAGCUAAGACAUGAUUUGGUUUUGUUAAAAACUGGGUAUAAAAUAGUUACCAUAAAAUUCGAAUGUCAAGAUAGUGUCCAUGGGAUUCAAAUCAAACCCAUGAACUUAUAAAUGAAAACAUGGACCAUAACAGGGAUCUGAUGAUGAAUGUGACAUGAUGAUGAUUAUAACAUGCACGUGGUUUACAUA